rnacentral:lncRNA from 1 species
GUUUCCACCAUAAUUUGGCUUUUCUUUUUUUGACAUAGAUCUAUUAGACUGUAUAGUACAGGUUUCAUCACAGAAGUAAAUAACAGCAUGUUUCCUUGGGAGCAAUUGAACAACAGAAUAAAACAGUCCUUACUGUUUUUUGAAAGUUGUGUCAGAUUGUCAUGGUAAUACAGAGUUGUCUCCUGUUGUCAUAGCAACCAGAAUUAUAAAAUGAAUUUAAAGAGGAUGAAGAGAUACUGUCUGGUGGUGUGAUUCUUUUAACUUGAGCGAUUCCUUCCUUCUCUACUUCUUUGUGUUUCAUUUUAUUCUGAUGAAAUGAGGAUGAGAAAGAUGGCUCGAGAGGGAAUUAUGGGAACUCAUAUUUCGACCCAAAGAGGAGUUGCAUCUUAAUGGCCCCACUCAUCACAGUCUGUCUGAGCCAGGUGGAAUGCAGGGUCUGGAACCAGGAUCAGAUACAUGGCUGUCAAGCCAUCCCAAGUUCAGCAGGAGGAAGUUCUGCUCCCAGGGGGUUGAAAAGUUCUUACAUUUGACAUGGAUAGAAGAUUCUACCUGGACUGCUUUUUCUACUUCACCAUUCUUCUGUCUCCUGACAUGUGAAGGCUUCCUUGAAUCUCCUAGGCAAUGCUAUUCAUCACCAUGCUAA